rnacentral:lncRNA from 1 species
UUUUUCAUGCCUUUAGCAUUUAAUUUCUUGCUUUAUUCCUGUUAAUAUUAUCUUAUCUAUAACUUGGCUAUGUGCUACUAAAAAUGGAUGAUAAUGAUUGCAAGAAAACCAUGUGGGAAAGACUCUCCACCAGAGUCUUAGAGUAAGCUUGAGAUAGGAUAGGUUGAGUAGUAUGGGCCACCGAGAAUCUCUUCUCGUAAGGGUCGAC